ensembl:lncRNA
GGGGAGGGGAGCGGAGCGGAGGGGGUUCUGAUAACUGUGAGUGGCCUAACCCACAUAGAUGGAAAUCAGCCUUGGGGCAAUUCUUUCCUUUAGCUGAUGGAACAUGAUAUAUACAGCUUGGAGCUAGGUUCCUCCACAGCACAGCUAUUUGUAUGCAUUCACUUUAUCACAUUUUUAGGAAUUUUGAUAGCAUCUGAUAGGUUUAGAUUCUGAGAGGCAUUUCCUUUGAGCCACCAGCAUCUUCAUGGCAGCUGGAGCACUGGCUAUAAUGAUCUGUUCCAGCCUCCUUAUCUUCAGUAGCCUUCCAUAUCUCCAAUCUGCUUGUGUCUCUGCAUACUGAGAAAUGAUUGUGGUUGUCAAUCAUAUGUGCCUUACUCUCAUCCUCCCCAGCUGUGGGUUCCGUCACUGAGAUCAGACUUGGUAGACCAUAUCCAGGGAUUUGAUUGUAUUGACUUGAAGUGAAUAUUGCGUUUGCCUUCAGAAAUCUCUUUCUUUCCCUCCAUCUUCCUUUGUGCAGGUCCUUUAUCUCUCAGAGCCUGUUUUCUGGCCAGCUGCAGCCUGAUGUUUACUCAGCUGGGGUGAAUAACUUUCCUUUCUGUGUGUCUGAUGUGCUGCGUGUUGUCAAUACAUGGGCCAAUGGAGAUGUCCUCCCUGCUCCAUCCAUAUCAGCUUCUGACCUGACUUAUCUGUUGGCAGACCAGCAGCACUGAAGUCAGUGUGAAUGCAGGCAUCCAUAGAAACGUGUUCUCAUACAGCAGAGGGACUGAGCUGUCAUUGCCUUGAGAGCACCUGGUGAGGUUUGGUCAGCUUUCCAAGAUGAUAACAUGGAGCCUGAAGACCAAGUGCUGAAGACAGAAGGAACUGCAUCCUUGCUUUGUGAGGCAUAGGGAUUCCAAAGGCCAUGAUUAGAUAGCCUUAAUUUUACCUAAGCUUACUGCUUCUUGUCUUUUUAUUUAUUUGCCAGAAGUAAAAGACAGUGGACUUUUCUGUAUCAUGAAGCUGAAGACUGAACGCAGUUGAACACCAAAGGAAGCAAUGGGAAAUAUUUAUCAUACUUGGGGAGAGGGAUCCAUUUUUGCCAUAUGAAAGCAUACAACAAAAGGUUCUGGCAGCUGGAAACUAGGAGAGAGAGCUGGGAUGGGACUUGCUUGCAUCCCACCGAUGAAGAUGAGCACCCAGUCCUCAGGUCCCUGUGUUUCCCAGCCAUCCCCCUCCCUGACAGAUGUCUGUCCUAGGAUGCUGGCUCCCACUCCUAUAUUUGAGAGGUGACAGAUGACUUGCUUCUCCUCCUUUUGCAAGCCUGGGCUGGGCUGAUCUGAUUGCCCUUUUCAGCUGUAGAAAGAUCCAUGUGGACAGGAAGACAUCAGAGAUAUCUAAGACUUCAAGGGCAUGAGAUAAAUGCAAAUGCAUCACUAAUGACUGCUUUAAAAGAAGGUGGUUCUGAUCUCUGUUCAAGAGUUGAUCUCCACCUUAGCAAUGCUACCUUGGGCUUUGAAAGGAAUCUGACAACAUGUCCUCCCUCUGGAUUUUAUUCCUGACUGUAAAGUGGAACCAGCUUUUAGAAGCGGAGGAUAAAGAUUUGGCUGGGAACAUCUGAGCUGGAGGACCAAUAACUUGGGAGCUGCUCGGAAGUGUUUGAUCUGUCUCAGGCCCGCAAGUGCUGAGCAAACGCCUGCCUUGAAGUGGAAGUUAUUUUAUGCAUCCACUGGAGUCCUCUAAAGCCAUUUCCUCUGGGACCUCUGGGGACACUCUGGGCAUCUAUUUUCUCAGCAAUACCAAUGUGUGAGUGCAAAGGGAAGGAGGAUGUGCUGCGUGACAAAUGUCAGGGUGGGCGUGGGGCUGUGUCUCCAAACAGCCUUGUAGGAGUGCUACAAUUGCCUCCUGUCCAUCUGCAGAUGCCUCGAUCUAUAGAUGCCUUGAAUACCUUGUGCAUCCCUCCUCCUUGUUCCAGCACCUCUCUGUUCAACUUGUAGCUGCUUCUAGGAAGCUUUCAUCUCUUCUUUGGAGCAGAACUGUAUACUCAGCUCCUUUUGGUCUUUCUGGGGAUCCCACCCCUAUAUUUAAGCAUAUAAAAUCCUGAAAAGUGAAGGCACAAAGGCUGUUCUCAAGGAGUGCUGCCAUCUCCCAGGCAGUAAGCCUGGCGCUGGAGGCUGGAGAGGCAGUGAGCAAGUUUCCAUCAAGAGGGGGUCCCUUGGCAAUGGGAAAGGUGAUGUUCCCACCUGCCAAGUGAUGCCUUUUUGCUCUCGCAUUCGUCUGAGCCAAUUAUUUUGUUUGCCCUGGAAGUCCCUUUGCAAAGGCUGAAGGAAAGCAAAACCACCUCUCCCAGCACCAGCUAAGUGCUAAAGCAGAACCUGCAAGGUGCAGUGCUGGGACGUGUAAGUGGGAGAAGGCCUGGCAGGAGGUUUCAUUCUCCAGUUCUGCCCGGAGGCUUUUCCCUUUGGAGCCCACUGAGGGCCAGCAGGGAAAUGAUUCCAAUUCCAGGCUUUCCAGCUUCCACGCUAAUUUAACCUGAACCAUUUCCUACUCUCCAAGCGGGAAGCAGGGAUGAGGUUAGCAGAUUCAGAUUGGGGGUGGACUGAAAAUGAUAUCAGCAGUUUUAUGGCCAUUUCUUUUCUUGGCAGGACAUGAGGGAGACCGUCUCACAGCCGCUAGGACAGAAGGUGGAAGAAUGCAAACGCUGAAACAUUUUUCAGUUUGUCCUGAUUAUCUUUCCUCCUCCAGCAGUUUUAUUAGGGUUCAUAAAUUCUUCUUUAAAGCACUCAUUCCCCCAUGCAUUUUAACCCUCGGCAGCCUUGGAGGUCACUGUAACCCUGUGGGGUUGGUGGCUGUCCAGGAGAAGCCACCCUGCCCCAUCACAGCUGGCUCUGACCGAAGAGAAUGGAAAUCACUGCACAAAAAGGGCUCUGAGGCACAUGGAGCCCUUCCACUGGCUCAAGUGUAAUAUAAAUAACAACCUUAAUCAUGCAGUGAAAUUGGUGGGUGAAGAUAUGACUGAGGAAUCUGAUAUUGCUUUCAGAAGAUUUUCAGUGCAUCAGUGCUGCUCUCCCCAGCGUGGCAGGAAAGCAUGGAAAAUUCCUCCAUCACCACUGCUUGGUGCCCUCCUAUAAUGAGUAGUCGUUGAGGUAAUAGUAACCCUUUUGGCAAAAGCACUUGCUCCAUGGAAAGCCAGGAUAUAUCCAGUAAUGCAGGGGAGUGCCAUAAAGCACAGCUCAGUAGGAACCUGUUAAAGCGAUAACCUCUGCUGGCCCGGCACGCUGCUUCACCAACAGUCCCCAGCUCAUGAAGGCAGUGAUGCUAAGUGAAAUAUUCAGGGGAGGUUAAGGUCGGAUAUUAGGAACAGUUUCUUCUCAGAAAGAGCACUGAGGCACUGGAAUGGGCUGCCCAGGGAGGUGGUGGGAUCGCCAUCCCUAGAGGUGUUCCAGAACCAUGGAGAUGUGGCACUGAGGGACGUGGGCAGUGGGCAUGGUGGGGUGGGCUGGGGUUGGACUUGGGGAUCUGAGUGGUCUUUUCUAACCUGAAUGAUCGUAUGAUUAGGUAGCUGCUGUUUGUUAGGCAGUCUUAUUCUUGUGGCAGUCUUAUUCUUGUGUCCCCUUGGGAGAACAGCCCUGAAGGCUGGUGGCCUUGAACUGGCAGCUUCUGCUGUGGACAUCAUCCCCUCCUUCCCAGUUUGACCUUCUACCAAGCCCUGAAGCAGGCUGAUUUGAGAUCAAUUCUUGCAACUAUAGCUUAGCAAUCCAUUUGGCUGCGUGGUUUUAUAGCCAGUACAAUAGGAUACAAUUAGUUUGUCAUGCACUUGGUGCAUUAUUCGCUUGCUGUUUGCUGCAAAGGAGGAGAAAGCCGAAAAAGUACAGUGGUGAGCUAUGUUGCUUUGGAACAAAAUAUUUACAUUUUCCACAUUUCCCAUAAGGCAUUAGCACUCUUCCAAAUGUGACACAGGAGAAGCAAAUGCUUAGUGGUCUGCGGAUCUAACAUUUGCUUAAGUACCAUGACAUAUGUGCGUAUGUGUGUACACACACGAGAUAUUUUAGUUCUACUAUUUAAAUUAAGGGUGGGAUACCCUUCAGCACUGCAUUUCUCAGCAUAUGUGUUCUUAUGUUCACUUAUUCUUUGUUUCUGCCAAUGCCUAAAUAAGGAAUACUAAACAGCCACAAAUAUGCAGCCAGUGGAGACGCAGGAAUUCACUGGGAGGGAGCGAAUGCUGAUCUUGAGCUGAUAGGUUUGCAAGGGAAAGAGUCACUGCAGCUGCAGGAGAGAUUUCUGUGGUGGUAUCUGUCUGUAAUGCACAUCACAGCCCCGCUUUGCCUUCAGGGCAAAGCUGAAGCUUUUAGAUGGAGAGCAAGUCGUUUCAAUGCCACAUCAGGGAUAUAUGUAUAUAUAUAUCCACAUAUAUAUACACACACAUAUAAGAAGCACCUGUUUGCACAAUGUUGAUGGUAUUCUCUGCAGCUCUGAGCUGGAACACUGGGCUUGCAAGGAUGCCCAGAUGGGCUGCGUGUGCAGGCAUAGGGGACCACACAUACAUGCCUACAUUUAUUCCCAUUAUUCCCUUGACUUAGAGCUUUAAAGUCACCUCCUCAGUCUCAUGCCAGCUACACAAUGUAAGGAUGACACAGUCAGGCCUUAAAUUUCCUACCUUUAGGAAAAUGCACAUGAAUUUGACCUCACAUUUGUUUUUCUGGUCAAAAAAUGAAAAGUCUAUGGGAAAGCAGCUUGUCCUGGAGCUCACUGCACUGGAGUAUUUCCUGUUAAAGUACAAUGAUCAGCUUGGAAAUUAAAGGGCAGAGAUGUCCCAGUUUGCUUUUCUAUGAUAUCUCUACACUCAUAGUGAUUGAAAUUGCUUUUGUGAUUCUUAUUUUAAAGCUGGAGCAAUUUAAGCACCAAGUAUCUGCUGUAGUGGAAAUGCUGAGUCACAGCCUGAAGCAGUGAUGGAGCACCUGGUGGAAAGGCAGGGCCAACCCAGGGGAGCUCAGGUGCAUGCAGUGCACCUGAGUGAUUGGAAGGGAUGGAGCCACCCCUUCCCAGACCUCAUUUAAGGGUUGGCAGUGGAGGUGAGGGCAUCUCUUGUCUGCCUACCUGAGGCCUUCUAAAGGCAAAUAGCUCUUUUCUUUCAUUUUUGCAUCUGUGGCUGCUGCACUUGGGCUCACUCUCAUUUGCUGCAGCCAAAGACUUUGCCACCCUACUAUUACCAGCCCAUUAUAGCAUUAUGCCUGCUUGCCAGUUUUUUGCCUGUUCCUCGGGUUCUCUGAGAGUACAAGGAACAACACCUUUUCAGAGUGGGUUCUGCUUUCUGUCUUUUCCCACCUUUGUCCACGCAGCAUACCUAAAUGUUUCCUCACCUCAGUCCUUACAGGGACGUUGUUGGCCAGGAGAGAUCUGUAAUGCAGAGGUUGGGCAAAUCAUACAAUCACUAUGAUUGGAAAAGGCCACUAAGAUCAUCAAGCCCAACUGUCAGCCCAUGCAUGCCCGCUGACCACGUCCCUCAGUGCCACAUCCCCACGGUUCUGGAACACCUCCAGAGACAGUGUGAUAUCACCAGUUGGACUGGAUGAUCUUAGUGGUCUUUCCCAGCCUUAAUGAUUCCAUGAUAAUAUGUUAUGUAACAAUUAUAGUAUAAUAUAAAUUGUAUUUAAUGGAGAUGCUGCUCUGGGUGUGAUUCAGCUGCAAGGGAAUCCAUCCCAUCUCUUGCAGGGUUUGUGGGGUUGGUAUGUGAUUUCCAUGCCACUGUGCGUGCACCACUAUACACAGCACAUUGCCCCAUCUUUGUUGCUGCGCUGCCCAACUCUCAGCUCAGGGAAAGGAAAGUCUGAGCUGAUAAGAAAGAUAACUGUUCUGAAGAAGGGAGGCAGAGGUUAAGGAGUGCCAUCUUUUGCGAUCCAUGAUUUGAGGUGGGAGCUUGCAGCCAGGUCCCCUCCGUGCCCAUUCUUCUGCCCUCUUCGCAUCCUCUCCUCCCAUUUUCCACCCCACCCUUGGAGAGGGGUAUGUCUGCUUACCUCCCUUUGCAGCAAGGGCAGAGGAAGAUGAGGAGCUUGGCUGGGGCAUGGAUGGAGCAGCCCAGGGUGCAGCAUCAACAGCCCCAGCCCCUACUCCCCCCCAGGCAGCAUUUGCAAAAGAUCAAAGCGUGCAGCAAAAAUAGCAAAAGGGAAGAGCUUGUGGGUUGGACAUCUGGAGGCCAGAAGCAGCUCCUGCUUUUGAGUAGGCAAGAGGUGAAGGAGGAAGGGUAAAAAUGGGUUUACGGUCUCGCUUCUUUUACUGGGAUUAAAAACUUCUUAUAAAGUUAUAUGGUUUGCUGUUAUUUGAGAAAGCAGUGUCCUAUGUCUCUGUAAGGUCCUAAUUUCAGAAGCAGGGAUGCUAAUGACACCUAUAAAAAUAGAGAGGUGGGUAUUUUCUGGCAGUCACAAUGCUGAUUUAUCUGUGGUGCAUCAUCUGACAACCUUAUUUUUAUUCCAAGGGGCACAAGGAGGCUCCUGGGAAAUGUCUGUGCUGCUAAGCUGAAUAAAGCAGGUGCUAUUUCCUUUUGCAGCUGGAUGUUUUCAACUAUAAGAACUCAGAAACAAGCCCAAACCUAAGGGGAUGGCUGGGUCACAGCCCAGUUUUUCAAAGCCUUUGCAAAGAAACUGGAGACAGACAGACUAGAAGUCAAAGUCCAACCUCUGGACAGUGCUGCCAAGUGUGCAAUCAAAUAUUGUGCCCAUUUCCACCAAAUAAGUGUGCCAGUGUCAUUGCAAUGCAUUAACGUACAAACAGUACAUUGCAACGUUGGGUUCACUCUGCAAAUGGAGCUGAGUGAGCAAAGUGUUUCACGCCAUUAUGUGUGUCCAAAUGGGAUGAAAACCUCUGGAGGCAGCAUAGCGGGACAUUCUCUGGUGAAAACAUUUACCAUGGAAAAAUGCAAUUUGCAGGGGAUGAUUUGCAUCCAGCACGAUGAACAAUUUUGGCCACAGGAAAAAUAAGCUGAAGUGGAGGGAAGGAGGUUGGAAUGGAAACAGACAGAUUUGAUUGGUUUUCUUUUAACAAAAGAAGCCGUAAGUUAAACACUCUGUUUGUGACAAGAUGUACCAUCUUAUCCCAGGCAGGUUGGAAUUCUUUUUCUUUCCAUCUUUUUCCUUUUUGAUUUUUCCCUUCUCUGUUCAUUCUGUUGGGAAAUGUUUUGUGGAUCAUGGCAUGGGGAGGUUUGGGACUCUCUGUGUUCCUUUCUGAGCUUCAUCAUCGUUAUCACUUUGCCAUUGUUUGUCUUGAUGUAGGAUCAACAACUGUCUCUCUCCUUGGUCAAAUGGUGGAACUGCUUCUUUCCUCUUCCAGUUUUGCCUCCUGGUCAUUAAAGUGGGAAAUAUCUCUCAUUCAUUUGCAUUGGUUUGACCUGUGCUCCUGGUUUGCUUUCCCAGCUAGGGACAUGGUUGUUGCUCCCAGCCAAGUGCCAGGUGUAUGGCAUGUGAUGACACCAAGCCCUGCCAGGUUGCAUGUUUCAAUGCUUGUGUUGUGCCACUUUCAUUAGCGCACUGAUUAACCAUUUCCCCGUGGUCUAAUGAAUUCCACUUGCCCAUCGCUCACUGAGCAUACCCAGAAAUCACAGCAUUGGGCAAUGCUCACUGGGAUACUUAAGGAAGAGGAGGGGAAAAAAAAAUGAAUGUGCGAGUGCUGGAUUGGGCAGGAAUGGGGGGAUGAAGAAAUUCAAACAUUUUUUUUUCUUCUUUCAGUGGUGAGGGCAGACAAGGCUGAUAGCUGCCUCCGUGUGAAACUGGAGCUAUAUCCAGGAAUGGUAUUUAUAUGCACGGAUGUAGCUUUCAAUCAGGAUGAUGUAAACACUGCUGCAGAAUUUUUUGACCAGGCUGUUUGGGAAACGUGAUGGAUUAAAUAUGACAAACAAGAUUCCUGGACGUUUAUUUAUCCGCCUUUUCAUUUGUGCCAGUUUCAUGUUAGGCAAGGCUCUGGCUACCAGACCGAUGCUAAGCCCUGAGGGCAGGCAAGGCUGGGGGGAGGGAGCCACAAAGAGAGUGUUUUCCAAGCCUCAUCUAAUUUAAAGCAUCUUUUGCUAAGUGGUGCAGCGAA